AGCGAACGCUGGCGGCAGGCCUAACACAUGCAAGUCGAACGAACCUUUCGGGGUUAGUGGCGGACGGGUGAGUAACACGUGGGAACGUGCCUUUAGGUUCGGAAUAACUCAGGGAAACUUGUGCUAAUACCGAAUGUGCCCUUCGGGGGAAAGAUUUAUCGCCUUUAGAGCGGCCCGCGUCUGAUUAGCUAGUUGGUUGAGGUAAUGGCUCACCAAGGCGACGAUCAGUAGCUGGUCUGAGAGGAUGAUCAGCCACAUUGGGACUGAGACAUGGCCCAAACUCCUACGGGAGGCAGCAGUGGGGAAUCUUGCGCAAUGGGCGAAAGCCUGACGCAGCCAUGCCGCGUGAAUGAUGAAGGUCUUAGGAUUGUAAAAUUCUUUCACCGGGGACGAUAAUGACGGUACCCGGAGAAGAAGCCCCGGCUAACUUCGUG
rnacentral:rRNA from 1 species